CAAAAUACAAAUAUAUCGCCUUGUAUGGAAGAAUGUGAAGUAUGUUAUAACUAUGGAAAAGGUUGUUGUGAGCCUUAUGAGUGUGUACCAAAUCCAAUUAUCG